rnacentral:rRNA from 1 species
UGGGGAAUAUUGCACAAUGGGCGAAAGCCUGAUGCAGCAACGCCGCGUGAGUGAUGAAGGCCUUCGGGUUGUAAAGCUCUGUCUUCUGGGACGAUAAUGACGGUACCAGAGGAGGAAGCCACGGCUAACUACGUGCCAGCAGCCGAGGUAAUACGUAGGUGGCAAGCGUUGUCCGGAUUUACUGGGCGUAAAGGAUGCGUAGGCGGAUACUUAAGUCAGAUGUGAAAAUCCCUGGCUUAACUUGGGAACUGCAUUUGAAACUGGGUAUCUAGAGUGCGGGAGAGGAUAGUGGAAUUCCAUGUGUAGCGGUGAGAUGCGUAGAUAUUCGGAAGAACACCAGUGGCGAAGGCGACUUUCUGGACCGUAACUGACGCUGAGGCAUGAAAGCUUGGGGAGCAAACA